AGGGUGUAAACGCUGCAGACUUGGUGUUGGAGGCCCUUUGGGGGCAUUCAGUGCCGGAGGGAAGUUGUUAAGUCUGCUACUUGGGGAGUACGUCCGCAAGGAUGAAACUUAAAGGAAUUGGCGGGGGAGCACCGCAACGGGAGGAGCGUGCGGUUUAAUUGGAUUCAACACCGUAAAACUCACCAGGGAAGACUGUUACAUGAAGGCCGAGAUGAAGACUCUGCUAGAUUUUCAGAGAGGUGGUGCAUGGCGUCAGUGACU
rnacentral:rRNA from 1 species